rnacentral:rRNA from 1 species
CACUACCAACCAAAGGAAAAGACUCGAACUGGCACCGACGCCAUUUAGCGUUUUUUACCUUUUACACGCAACUCAAAGCCGCGCGAGCUAUGCUUCUUGUACAGCAACUACCCGGAAACGGCUUUCUAACCGUACCAAAGAGUCAAAUACACUCAGGUCUCCACUGGCCCCAUCUGGCGUUGUUUGCCUUUUUUGCCUUUCACAGUUAAUUUAACGCCGCAGGACCUACACUUCUCUAACAACAGGUUCCCGGAAACGGCUUCCUGACCGUUCCAAAGAGCCAGUUCAAACGGCUCAGGGAAUUUCGAACGAUACGUCUAUCCAGCAUGAUGCCGGGAGGUCUAAAGAACACAGUCAUGACACCACGGAGGAAAACCAAACGACUCACGAGUUACAGGUCCAGUAGAACCUGUGUUGUAUUCUACCAAAUAUUAGCGACAACGUUUCCGCGAUUCACAACAUAUGGCAACUCAAGGUCUUCACCCCUGACGGAGUGCACGUAUAUGAACAGACCGCCUCCCCCCAUUACUGCCGCUACCAACUAGACGUCCGAGAACAACACCCCUUGUUCUUGAACUGGUAGGCACACACACAAAGCUCACACACCGUCGUAGCACCCAGGUGACUAUUGUCAGGAUAGUUUGUGUGACUGUACCAGGAAAACCUACGGGUCCCGUUAGUGUACAUACAACUCUAACCACUCUUCGAACACGGAUUCAAGUUAACUUUGUUGGUGUAGGUACAACAAAGAACCGUCCCGUUGGUAUGGAUACGACUCUAACCAAGGACUCGAGGAAAUAUCCAGAGAACGACACUUCGAACACCAAUCGUACGGAAAGUUCGUAAGUUAAGAACACUCCCACCUCGACCUCUUCCGUCCCGCAGUCUCGUCUCGGUCAACGUCGCAGGUGCUAGAGGAACCCGUACCUGUUAGGGUGGUCUAACUGGUGCAACGCCCGAAACCAGUCACCACACACACGGGUCACCAACCUCGUGUGAUUUCACCUCCUUGUCACAACAGCAGUUGAUACCUAAGUCAAUAGAAUACUAUAAUACUCAGAACCCCUAAUAUUCACGGUAAGUUGAUAAGUGAGAGUACUCUUUCUGCCCAACCGCGAAUGACUACGUUGUUGGUUACGUUUGUCCAAACUUGGCAGGCACGGAUGACAACGGGGUUGCUGACACCCGUUCUUUCCAGACCUUCUUCGUCUUGGGAAAUGAUCCUUGUUCCUGCAGAAAACCACUGGAUUCGGAAAACCUUUGUUCAAAACAUUUACCUACCAAAAAAUAGUCAUAUCUACAUGAUAGCUAAGGAGAUGAACUCGAGUCCGAGCGUCCGUGUAUAACGGUUUAGUAAACCAACGAAGUCUAGAUGCCACUGACAAUAGUGUUGUUACAGUGACAGGUAGGUCUGACAGCCCGAUGAACCUCUGUCUGACGGAAAAUCAUUCCACGUGUGGAAGGUUCACAUAUAGGACCUGAACCACGGACCUCCACUUUGCUCAUUUAACUAGUCGACUGGACGUUGUUGGAAGUUUUACGAAAGCGGGGAACACAAAGUCAAAGUCAGUUCCGCUAUAGGUACACAUCUCCCAGUAUUUCGAAGCCACGGGACCAAUAAAACAAACAUAUAUACAUUUACUCGAAACGUUAGACAACUGUAGACGUGCAAGUACGAGACAUCAGAUAGUCGUUUACAUGAGUACUUGGAGUAGGUACAGUUACACGGACGAACCCGGACACUAGUUACACACUACAGCAAUACACGAGAGAACACGUAAUAGGACAAUACUAAGUAUACCAAAGACGAAAAGACUCAGACAGUAUGAGGUAUGCUAGUUGCUGUUGGUUACGUCAUGAGGUAUACAAAGAUUGCUGUAGUAUAUAGAACGCGUCCUUACAUUAAUAGAGGUCCAGGAAACGGCGGUGGACGAGUACCGGCAGUAGCAGGGAAAC